GUUUGUUCUGUUGUUCAAUGAAACAUCAAUGGUAAUAAAACCAUUUGCAUACCAUUUUUGGUUCCAGAGAUAUCUCAAGUUACCAAACCGGCAAUAAUGAUUCCAGUGCUAGCAGUAUCAUUUUGAACCAGAAGCAUAGUGUGAAGCAGUGCAGUUGCAGUAGCAUUGCAGAUUAUAGAACAUUGGAAAAUUACACAAAAAUCUCUUAUCCAUCAAAAGAAAAACUAUCAAUCAACCAUUUGAAGGUCUUAGUUGAAAUCUAGUUCAAAACACUUGAAUUAGACCUGAAAAUGCAUCAAGGGCAAUUUGGUCAUUUCCAGAGUUUGAGGCUGAUCCUGAAAAGAUGAAAAAUUGACCAAGGCAAAUCGAUCGCAUUAUCAGUCGAAGAAAAUCGAUCGAUCCAAAGUAGAUCGAUCGAUUAUUUAUGCAGCCACGAAGUCGGUCGAUCGAACCUGGAUAUUUUUCGAGAAAAUCUUUGGAUGUCGACAUGCUUUGUGUGGAUGAAAUUAAUCCAAUUUGAGCGGUUCACAGAGGAUGUCGACACUAUUUUGUGCAGCCAAAAAUCGAUCUUUGAUGUUACCUUUGUAAAUUAAAUUUCUAUAUAUAUGAGAUUAGGAUUUAGGGUUUAGGGUUUAAGGAUGCAUCUUUUGGGGUUUUGAAUUUUCUCAGGUGUAUCAACUUAAUUUCUUGUAUUUUUAGUUUCCUUUGAUGCAACUCUCUAGACCGAA